rnacentral:rRNA from 1 species
UACGAAGGGGGCUAGCGUUGUUCGGAUUUACUGGGCGUAAAGCGCACGUAGGCGGCUCGUUAAGUGAGGGGUGAAAUCCCAGGGCUCAACCCUGGAACUGCCUUUCAUACUGGCGAUCUUGAGUCCGGAAGAGGUGAGUGGAACUCCUAGUGUAGAGGUGGAAUUCGUAGAUAUUAGGAAGAACACCAGUGGCGAAGGCGGCUCACUGGUCCGGUACUGACGCUGAGGUGCGAAAGCGUGGGGAGCAAACAGG